rnacentral:rRNA from 1 species
UACCAUGCAGUCGACGAUGAAGCCUUUCCGGGGGGGUUAUAGUGGAACGGGUGAGUGACACGCGGGCAAUCUGUGCUUCUCUCUGUGGCACACCCUGGAAACCGGGGUCUAAUACCGGAUAACACUCUGUCCCGCAUGGGACGGGGUUAAAAGCUCCGGCGGUGAAGGAUGAGCCCGCGGCCUAUCAGCUUGUGGUGGGGGUAAUGGCCUACCAAGGCGACGACGGGUAGCCGGCCUGAGAGGGCGACCGGCCACACUGGGACUGAGACACGGCCCAGACUCCUACGGGAGGCAGCAGUGGGGAAUAUUGCACAAUGUGCGAAAGCCUGAUGCAGCGACGCCGCGUGAGGGAUGACGGCCUUCGGGUUGUAAACCUCUUUCAGCAGGGAAGAAGCG